rnacentral:lncRNA from 1 species
UUAUUUCCACAAGAAACCCAUUUUUUUUACUGGUAACAUCAGAUCACAGAAUCUUACCUGAAGCUGACAUUUAACCAAAAUAAAGAAGGUAAUAAGAAAUUUUCUUGAGGCUGGAGAAACACCUCAGCAGUUAAGAGUACUAUUGCUCUUGUAGAAGCCCAGGUUUAGUUCCCAGAAACCACAAGAGAGCUUACACCAUCUGUAAGUCCAGCUCCAGGGGACCUGGAAGUCCCCAGGAACACACAUGGUACAUUAAUAUCCAAGCAGGCAAAACACAUAAAUCUAAAAAACAUAAGCAAAAAAAAAUUUAAAGGACAAUCUAUAAUUCUGUCUUUACUGAAAAUUAACAUGCAAGAGACUUUCUUGGGCCAGCCAUAUGGCUCCUGGGUAACUACACUCAUCAUGCAAGGCUGGCAGAUGACUUAAGUCUCUGGAAUCCAUAAUGGAAGGAGAACACCAACUCUGAAAACUUGUGUUCUGACUUCCACGCCUAUGCAUUGGCACGUGAUAAUGCACACUUUCCAUCCAACAUGUUUCUAAGUCUUGAAGUUGCUCCUAGGCAGCUCUCCAGUGUCAGUUUAGAGUCUGGAGGAACAUCCAAGUUAAAAAUUACUUCCGGCAUACUAUGGCUUGCACCAGGGCAUCACAGUCAUAUAUGACAGAGUGCUGGUUAAGAAAAGGAAGAGAUGAAGUCUCACAACACAAGUUGUUAGAAUAGCUGAGAAAAAUAUCCUUAUAGCUGAGAACAGUAUGCUACCUAGCUAUUUGGAGAAGAGGGGGCUCUUAACGCAUUUGUUACAGACACAAAACCAGUGAUGGUUACAUAUUAAAUCCAAGAAAAAGACCUGGUCAUUUCAUGUUCUUACAAGUUUUUUUUUAAUAUUUGAUUUUGUUUCUAAAUGACAUUUUAUGUUUCCUAACUAUUUUUCCUAAGUGUAUGUGUGAGUGUAUUUGGCCUGUGGAGGCCAGGAGAUGUCAGAUUCCCUGAAACUGGAAUUACAGACAACUGUGAGCUGAUCAGUGAGCACUGGGGACAGAACUCCAGCCCUCCAGAGAGCAGUGAGCGCUGAGUCACCUCUGCAGCCUUCCUCUUAGGGUUUUUAAUGAACACCAUGUCACCAGUCUGUUCCUUCAAACACACAAAGUGCCCUUACACUUCUUAGUGCUCAUCCACAGUACCCACAAGUAGUGGGAAUCAGUUUGGCUACGCUGUUAUCACACUUCUGGGAGGGAUGUUUACACAAACCUACAGCCUCAACUAGGAAAUAUGUUCACACAUGUUAUAAUAUAAAUGGUGCCCAUUAAAAUUGUGCACUAUAGGGGCAUUGAGGGUAAACUAAUUGCUGUGAUCAACUAAAAAAUAAGUAAUGGCUCCGAUUUGUUUCUUCCUGAAGUAAAUGAAUAGGUCAGUAUGGAGUUUUGGAGGCAUUUCUUCACAGAGCCUUUUAGAACUGAAUGCUCCAAGAUUUCCUUGAGAUCUUCUGUUCUAGUCUGUUGAGAGGAGAGACUUACAGUGCUUUUCAUUAUUUUGGACAGGGUUUCAUGUAUCCCUGGCUGGCCUAGAACUUGAAAUACAGCUGAAGGUGAUCUGUAACUCCCUGAGUGCCUGGACUAUCAGCAUGUACCAUACAGCCAAUUUAUGUGGUAUUAGGGACUAAGCCCGAGGCCUUGAGCAUGUAAGGCAACUGCUGCUCCAGCUAAGCUACACCCUCAGCCCACAAAGAUUUUUAGGGAAGGGUCUCAAAGUAAUAGACAUCGGUCCAUUCUCACUACACUGACUAUAGUUUAGUCAAAUAAUGACUAUACCUAUCAGGGAAAAUAGUUUCUCUGAUAUGGCCAAAAAGUGACAACACGGCUCUUGCUGUCUAGUUAGGAACCGAUACUUGCUUGGAUGUUCACCACCACCACUACCAUACACAGAUUCUCAAGUGGGAAGUAGACACUGAAAAAAUAAAUUCUCAAACUCAGUUUUUUUUUUAAUUAGUAUUGUGUGGCAGAACAUCUGAAAUGGGAAGUCUGCUAUGUAAAUGUCAGUAGAACAAAAAAAAUCUAUAGUUGAGGUUUUAUAUUUCUCAUGGGUUCGUGUUAGUGUGUGCUUUUAUAUGCACUAGAAAAGUGCAUAUAAAAUGAAGAUGGUACUCUCCGACAGCCUAUCACACUCCAGGAACCUGUGAAGCACCCUAAACAUUGGCACUUGGGUGGAGGGAGAGAAAAAGACUAACAGACUGCUGUGCCAGGCCAUCAUUAGAACCUGCUUUAGUAUUCACUGCCUGGCUUUAUCGUUGCUGGGUGACGGGUAGAGAGGGAAGCUGCCUGAGAGUGACUUUGUCUCACUUAAACUACUUGAAAAUCUACUAUAGAAAACAUGAGUUACACUUGCACAGCCUUAAUCUGGCACCUCAGCAAUCCUCUCACUGGGUCCUAUCACAUCAGUUCCUUCCUAAGGCAACAAGGACUAGUUUAAGGACCGUAGAGAGCCAGGGUAAUGUAUCCCGGGUACUUCUCUGAAAGGAAGUAGAGAUUUUCUUAAAGCAGAUUAUUCAUGUGAACUAUGUGACAUGAGUCCCAUAAAAGUUUCUAUGAAACUGCCAAGACUUAAAUGACUAGUGUACAGUUUUUAUAUUUAUUACUGAAAAAAUCUUACCAAUAUAUAAAUGCUUUUAUACCUUUAUAUGCUUUUCCUUAGAAAAGUUCCUUGGUUUUAAGCAGAAUAUUGAGGAAUGUAUUAAAAUCAUACAUUAUAUCAAUAAAAUAGCAAAAAUAUAGUUUUUGUAUAUAAGUUCUCUUGAAAGAGCAUAGACUCAGAAUAUGUCUGUCUACUGAUAGUGUCUAUUUUUCUUCUUCCUCUUCUUCCUUUUCCUUCUUCCUCCACGUUCUUUUUCCUCUUCCUUCUCCUCCUCUUAUAGAUAUGU